UAAAAAAUCAAUAAAAUAUAUUUUUUAAAAAAAUACAUUUCCUGGUCCUCCAACGUGUAGGCCUCAGAAACAUGCCUAUGACCCCGAGGUGGAUGCAUCAAAGAUCCUGAUUGGCUGAAGCAGUGCUUGCAGGGAUGGGUGCAGAGGCUGGAAGGAAGAGGCGUGUGUUCAGACCUCCAUCUAAACUUGCUUUGCUGUUGGGCUAGAGCCCCUUCCUGGAGUUAAAGCUGAAAGCGCCAGGGAACCUGUUCCUGAACCUUUUUUGCAAGAGGGGCUUGGGCUCUGCCGAUGAGACGGUCCCCAUCCAGAUUUUGAAUCAGAAGUUAGCGAUGGGAAUAAGCAGGGACACAAAGACUCGAUGGUCAACAGGUGGUGGCUGUGGUGGUGGCGGCCCUGUUCUCCAGCCGUCCUGCUGAUUCUCUGGGCUCCCCAGUAGCAUUGAAAGAAAUCCCGUUUUGUGUAAAUCUUCCAGAGUCGUUUUUGAUGAAUCGCAACUAAAUAUCCAGGCUGAGCUGAGGACUGGAAGAUAAAGUUUGAGCAUUGAGCAGCACACCUGGCAGAACAACAGUGGCCGGAAGAAGCCCGGGAAGAGACCGGGAUUCACUGCUGGGAGUUCCAGAUGGAGUGGAAAGCAGGCCCUGCCUCGCCCACCGGAGCCUGGCUAAGGGGACAGUGCCACGUGGAGGCCCCAGGCAGGGUCGCGCGGGCUGCGCUGCUGCUUCAGGACACAGGUGCGGAUCAAAGCAGCACUCAGAAUGCGAAGGUCUUGAAACCAUUUUGAUUGGAUGUGCUCCAGCUGAGGCCAGAAUGGGGCAAGAAGGAGGCUUCGAUAACCUCAGAAGGACAGUUUCAAUACGUGGUUCCACGGCCAGUGGGCAGUACCUGGCGACUUCCUGAAACUCCCCGCACAGGGUGCCACAGUUUUAUGAGGUAGAAAGAACACUGUGUAUUUUAAAAAACAACACACACACACACACAAAUAGAAACAAAAUUCUAGAAAAGUCGUCAUGCCCCAGAAAUAAAAAAGGGCCCAAAGAUAAAUGUAUACACACAUAUGAAUAAUGAAUUUCUUUUGUGGCUCAUGGCUCUCCCUUCUUACCUACCACAAACUUGCCUAAUGGUCAGGAAGCUGGACAAAAUUUUAUCCAAACAAAGGUAGAACCAACCAACCCCUGCUAGAUCAAAUUCUAGGUAAGAAUUUCUGACCUGUGUUCUCCCCUGAGGCUACCUGUGCUAAUGGCAGAUACUGAAAAAGUAGAAAUGGUCCAAAGGCCAACGGAAUGUAAUAAUCUGCAUUCAUUUUAAGGUGGUUGUGUAUGCUGGAUUUUUUGGACAAUCUGCAUUUUAAGUAACCAGUCACUCCUAACUGCAUUUUUUGGCAAUUCACUCAUUCAUUCAUUAUUCAUUCAUUCAUUCAUUGAACAAAACUAUGUGCUGUUGGUGCUGAACUAAACUGUAUAUCCAUGAGGGAAAAAUAAAUUUUGACCCCAAGCUGCACAAAAAAUUAAUCUGAGAGGAAUCAUAGACCUAAAUGUGAAGGCUAAAACAAUCAAGUUCCUAGGACAAAGAUUUUUUUAAACAGGACAUAAAAAGCACUACUCAUAAAAAUAAGAUUAAUUAGAUUUUUUUAAAUUAAGAAAUUCUGUACAUCAAAAGAUAACAUUAAGAGAAUUAAAAGGAAGCCACAGACGGGGAGAAGAUAUCUGUAAUACAUGUAUUGGACAAAGGACACAUAGAUCAGUAUGACAGACAACCCCCUGAAAAUGGCAAAAGACCUAAACAGACACUUUACUGAAAGGAUAUCAAAAUGGCCAAUAAGCAUCUGAAUAUUAUUAAUUAUUAUCAAUAAUCUCAAUAUUAUUAUUAGAGAAAUGUAAAUUUAAAUCCCAAUGGAAUCCACACUCCCUUUUUAAAAGUAAACAAACUGACCAUACCAGGCAAAGUU